rnacentral:rRNA from 1 species
AUUGAACGCUGGCGGCAGGCCUAACACAUGCAAGUUGAGCGGAUGCGGGGGGCUUGCUCCUGGAUUCAGCGGCGGGCGGAUGGGUAAUGCAUAGGAAUCUGCCCGGUCGUGGGGGCUGACGUCCGGAAACGGGCGCUAUUACAGCAUCCGAACUGAGGGAGAAAGUGGGGGAUCUUCGUUCCUCACACUAUUCGUUGAGCCUAGGUUGGAUUGGCUAGUUGGUGGGGUAAAGGCCUACCAAGGCGACGAUCCGUAACUGGUCUGAGAGGAUGAUCAGUCACACUGGAACUGAGACACGGUCCAUACUCCUACGGGAGGCGGCAUUGGGGAAUAUUGGACAAUGAGCGAAAGCCUGAUCCAGCCAGGCGGCGUGUGUAAGGAAGAUCUUCGAAUUGUAGAGCACUUUAAGUAGGUAUGAAGGCCAGUAAGUGAAAACCUUGCUGUUUUGACGUUACCAACAGAGUAAGCACCGGCUAACUUCGUG